UUUAUCGGAGAGUUUGAUCCUGGCUCAGGACGAACGCUGGCGGCGUGCCUAAUACAUGCAAGUCGAGCGGACAGAUGGGAGCUUGCUCCCUGAUGUUAGCGGCGGACGGGUGAGUAACACGUGGGUAACCUGCCUGUAAGACUGGGAUAACUCCGGGAAACCGGGGCUAAUACCGGAUGGUUGUUUGAACCGCAUGGUUCAGACAUAAAAGGUGGCUUCGGCUACCACUUACAGAUGGACCCGCGGCGCAUUAGCUAGUUGGUGAGGUAACGGCUCACCAAGGCAACGAUGCGUAGCCGACCUGAGAGGGUGAUCGG
rnacentral:rRNA from 1 species